AAAAGAUAAUCCUAAUUGUGUGCUUGUGGCCUUUAAAUAGGGUGCAAAACUAUAAUAGGGCGGGUUUCCUUGUGUAAUUAAAAUUCCUUCACUGCGCCAUCACGCCCAUCCGGACGGCCGUGUGAGAUUUUGAACUAAAAUCCGCACGGCCGUGCGGUCUUUGAUUCUCCAGAUUUCUGAUUUUUCACUUUUGGCCCACUUUUUCUCUGAAUUUGCAGUUUUCACCCCAAAAGUUGUCAAUUCUCCAAUUUGCACCUAAAAUACAAAUAAUAGCCAUAUUAAGCACCAAUUAUCGUAAAAACACAUCAAAAGCUCCAAUUAAAAGGUACAAUUAAGUGUAUAAAUAUACACUUAACACACCCCCAAACUUGAACUUUUGCUUGUCCUCAAGUAAAAUCAAAUAAAAAAACACAAAAACAC
rnacentral:lncRNA from 1 species